rnacentral:rRNA from 1 species
GUGCACCAGUCGAGAACUUUACAAUGUGCGAAGCACGAUAAGGGAACUCUGAGUGCCUCCUAAGGAGGCUGUUCAGGUGUCUAAAGCACCUGGAGUAAGGGCUGGGUAAGACCGGUGCCAGCCGCCGCGGUAACACCGGCAGCCCAGGUGGUAGCCACUUUUAUUGGGUCUAAAGCGUCCGUAGCCGGUUGAGUAAGUUCCUUGGGAAAUUUGGCUGCUCAACAGUCAAGCUUCCAGGGAAUACUGCUCGACUUGGGACUGGGAGAGGUCAGAGGUACUCCAGGGGUAGGGUGG